ACACUCCUACGGGAGGCAGCAGUGGGGAAUAUUGGACAAUGGGCGAAAGCCUGAUCCAGCAAUGCCGCGUGAGUGAUGAAGGCCUUAGGGUUGUAAAGCUCUUUUACCCGGGAUGAUAAUGACAGUACCGGGAGAAUAAGCCCCGGCUAACUCCGUGCCAGCAGCCGCGGUAAUACGGAGGGGGCUAGCGUUGUUCGGAAUUACUGGGCGUAAAGCGCGCGUAGGCGGCUUUGUAAGUUAGAGGUGAAAGCCCGGAGCUCAACUUCGGAAUUGCCUUUAAGACUGCAUCGCUAGAAUCGUGGAGAGGUGAGUGGAAUUCCGAGUGUAGAGGUGAAAUUCGUAGAUAUUCGGAAGAACACCAGUGGCGAAGGCGACUCACUGGACACGUAUUGACGCUGAGGUGCGAAAGCGUGGGGAGCAAACAGGAUUAGAAACCCUAGUAGUCCC
rnacentral:rRNA from 1 species